GACGAACGCUGGCGGCGUGCUUAACACAUGCAAGUCGAACGGAAAGGCCCUGCUUUUGUUUGUUGCUCGAUUGGCGAACGGGUGAGUAACACGUGAGUAACCUGCCCUUGACUUUGUGAUAACUUCAGGAAACUGGGGCUCAUACCGGAUAUGAUCUCCUGCUGCAUGGUGUUGGUUGGAAAGUUUCGGCGGUUGGGGAUGGACUCGCGGCUUAUCAGCUUGUUGGUGGGGUAGUGGCUUACCAAGGCUUUGACGGGUACCCGGCCUGAGAGGGGGACCGGCGACAUUGGGACUGAGAUACGGACCAGACUCGUACGGGAGGCAGCAGUGGGGAAUAUGGCACAAUGGGAGGAAGCGUGAUGCAGAAACGACGCGUGCGGGAUGAGGGGUUUCGGGUUGUAAACCGCUUUCGACUGUGACGAAGAGUGAGUGACGGUAAUGGGUAAAGAAGCACCGGCUAACUACGUG
rnacentral:rRNA from 1 species